rnacentral:rRNA from 1 species
ACGCAGCGAAUUGCGAUAAGUAAUGUGAAUUGCAGAUUUCCAGUGAAUCAUCGAAUCUUUGAACGCACCUUGCGCUCCUUGGUAUUCCGAGGAGCAUGCCUGUUUGAGUGUCAUUUUGAAUUCUCAACCAUCUCUUGAUUCAUUUCAAGAUCGUUGGCUUGGAAAUGGGGGCUGCUGGUCAUGGUCUUUGACUUGGAUCAGCUCUCCUAAAAUGAAUUAGCGAUUGGGUAGCCAAGUCUUUCGACGUGCACGGCCUUUCGACGUGAUAAUGAUCGUCGUGGCUGGAGCGUCUUUGAGUUGAAUUCAAUGCCUAUUGCUUAUAACAAUAAUAUAUAUAAUGAGAAUGUAAUGAGGGAAAGGAAUAUGUCCCCCGAGCUUUCAAGCCUUUUCUAGUUACUAGUUGGUCAACGGACCGGCGAACACAGAAAAGUACAAGGCCUGGCCACGUAUCUUCCUUCCUCUUCAUUAUUCAAGACUAGUGUCUCUGACCGUCUUAUUCUCAUAUAUUUAUAUUUUCGAAACUUGACCUCAAAUCAGGUAGGACUACCCGCUGAACUUAAGCAUAUCAAUAAGCGGAGG